rnacentral:rRNA from 1 species
UGGGGAAUUUUGGACAAUGGGCGAAAGCCUGAUCCAGCAAUGCCGCGUGUGUGAAGAGGGCCUUCGGGUUGUAAAGCACUUUUGUCCGGAAAGAAAUCCUUGGCUCUAAUACAGUCGGGGGAUGACGGUACCGGAAGAAUAAGCACCGGCUAACUACGUGCCAGCAGCCGCGGUAAUACGUAGGGUGCAAGCGUUAAUCGGAAUUACUGGGCGUAAAGCGUGCGCAGGCGGUUUGCUAAGACCGAUGUGAAAUCCCCGGGCUCAACCUGGGAACUGCAUUGGUGACUGGCAGGCUAGAGUAUGGCAGAGGGGGGUAGAAUUCCACGUGUAGCAGUGAAAUGCGUAGAGAUGUGGAGGAAUACCGAUGGCGAAGGCAGCCCCCUGGGCCAAUACUGACGCUCAUGCACGAAAGCGUGGGGAGCAAACAGGAUUAGAUACCCUGGUAGUCCACGCCCUAAACGAUGUCAACUAGUUGUUGGGGAUUCAUUUCCUUAGUAACGUAGCUAACGCGUGAAGUUGACCGCCUGGGGAGUACGGUCGCAAGAUUAAAACUCAAAGGAAUUGACGGGGUCAUA